UGAUUCCUGGAUGGAUACACAAGAC
rnacentral:misc_RNA from 1 species